UGGCAGACUAUACUAUACUAUUCCAGAGUCUGGGGGCAUAGUAACUAAAGGCUGCCUCUCCAUGCCUCUUGGUCCCCCUCAGGUUCUCUAGCCGGCUAGUCCAGAGUCUGGGGGCAUAGUAACUAAAGGCUGCCUCUCCAUGCCUCUUGGUCCCCCUCAGGUUCUCUAGCCGGCUAGUCCAGAGUCUGGGGGCAUAGUAACUAAAGGCUGCCUCUCCAUGCCUCUUGGUCCCCCUCAGGUUCUCUGACAGACUAUACUAUACUUUUCCAGAGUCUGUGGACAUAGUAACUAAAGGCUGCCUCUCCAUGCCUCUUGGUCCCCCUCAGGUUCUCUGACAGACUAUACUAUACUAUUCCAGAUUCUGGGGGCAUAGUAACUAAAGCCUCUCCAUGCCUCUUGGUCCCCCUCUGGUUCUCUGGCAGACUAUUCCAGAGUCUGGCGGUAUAGUAACUAAAGGCUGGCGGUAUAGUAACUAAAGGCUGGCGGUAUAGUAACUAAAGGCUGGCGGUAUAGUAACUAAAGGGUGCUUGUCUCUUCAGACAGGAACUGCUUUUUUAUUAUUGAUG
ensembl:lncRNA